rnacentral:lncRNA from 1 species
CAGUCAAAUGCUCUACCCCUGAGCUAUACCCCCACCUGUUACCAACCUUACAGGAAGAGGAACUUUUUCUUCUGUAUCAAGCUACCUGAUUUACAGAAGGAAUGCAGCCACCUCUGGGGGCAGAACACAAUGACUAUUAUACAGCACAGGAAACCACAGUCUCAGGAGGUACCAGUCAUUCAUGAUGGCACAGGAUCUUCCAGUUCCCCACUAGCAGGGAAGGGGGCAGUGACAGCGAGGAAGAGGAAGAGACAAAUGAAACUGAGGACAGCGACAGCAGCAGUGGGCCCUCCAGCAGGAGCUGCAGCAACAGCGACAUGGACAAGUGAACUAAGUUUGUGACCCUGCAAGUGGGGUGGGGAUGAAAGGAAGGGGUUGCCUGGUUUGAGAGACCAGAGUUUGGGUGUGUGGUGUGCGGUGCAAAUAUUGUAAGGGGUUCGGGUGUCCAGUGGGCCUUUGUACAGGUGUGCGGACUGUGCAGAUGUAGUUUUUGUAACAGGUUACAUUUUUCUUCUUUGUGGGGUGAUACUCAGAGUGUAGAUAUAUAUAACCAUAUAGAUAGAUAGAUAUUUUUCCAAAAGCAAAAUCU